GGCGACCUACGGGACGCAGCAGUGGGGAAUAUUGCACAAUGGGGGAAACCCUGAUGCAGCGACGCCGCGUGAGUGAAGAAGUGUUUCGGCACGUAAAGCUCUGUCAGCAGGGAAGAAAAUGACGGUACCUGACCAAGAAGCCCCGGCUAACUACGCGCCAGCAGCCGCGGUAAUACGGAGGAUGCGAGCGUUAUCCGGAUUUAUUGGGUUUAAAGGGUGCGCAGGCGGAAGAUCAAGUCAGCGGUAAAAUUGAGAGGCUCAACCUCUUCGAGCCGUUGAAACUGGUUUUCUUGAGUGAGCGAGAA
rnacentral:rRNA from 1 species